CAAAGAGUAGUUUAAUAAGAAUUUCAGCUUUGGGUGCUGAUGGUGGGACUUAAGGUCUCCUCUUUGA
rnacentral:tRNA from 1 species